rnacentral:lncRNA from 1 species
GUAAAUAAUUGUUGCCUAAUUCAUUUGAAAAGGUCUUCCCGAAUUGACUUGACGUACACAGAAAUAUUCGCCACUGGUCUUUACUCAAAAAACGAUUCACGCAUAAAUGUAUGACUAAAACAAGUGUGAGGUAAAUGAUAUGUUUGUCUAGUAUCUCAGAUCCAUUAAAUAACACGUAAAAUAAAUAUAAAAAAAACCGCUACCCUAUUCCUUUACCAAAUACUCCUUGGAGAAGAAAUACCAUUUGAAACGAACAGAAAAGAUAAAAAUGUAGUGAUCCCUAAUAUCUCAAUCCUUUUUUUUUCGGCUGUAAGCACGCUGUUGCAGCUAACGUUUUCUAAUGCGUUAUCGAGACUUCUCUUGUAUAUUCAAACUACUGCAAAUUAUAAAAAUGGCUUUCUUAAAGUAGCAACCACUUAACUUAAAAAAGGGGGAGAGUUAUUUUUUUUAUCUGAGUCAGAUUUUUUUUCUCGCGUACGUUUUUAUUCCUUUUUUUUCGAUACUGGUUAUCAAAUACUUUUUUUUUAAUAUUUAACACUAUAAUGUAUGGGGACACUCUUGAUUCAGAACAUUUUUUUUUUAUCAUCUGUAUGACCAUUUUUUUUAUAUCAAAUUGGAGAUCUUUCCAUUCCCACCCUCCGCCCCCAUUUUGAAGACAAUUGGUUGUUCCCUUACCGCUAGAAAAAAUUUCCAAAAAUUUUGAAUUCAGUUCUACGUAAUGAACAUUUAAAUGACAUAUAGUUUACAAGUGGGAACAAAUCUUAUGUACAGGUAGCUAAACAAGGUGUAUAGAUGUGAACAAAUGUAAUGUGAAACCAGUGUACACUACACUAAACUAAUUGUAAACAUGUUUACUCUACACGGCGUUUGGUGUGAACACGGCCUAAGUUUG